rnacentral:lncRNA from 1 species
AUUAGACUCAAGAGAAUGAGCUCUCAAGCCUUUAUUCUGUAAAAUAGAGAGACAUAGGCUAUCUCAAAGGAGGGAUGUCCUAGAGGUGUAGAUUUUACAGGAUCUUAUUUUUAUGGAGCAGUACUUUGCAGAACUAUGGGCUAUCUGAAUCUGCUUGCACUUAUGGAAAUGCACAGCAAACAAAGCCAUAGACAAUUGUUCCUUAACAGGAGUAGGUCUGAAGGUGUUGGAAUUGACCCCUUUGACAGGGUGGCGCCCAGCCUGUCUGCCACCCAGCCUGUCUGCCACAUUGAGAACAAAAAGAAAAGCUUAACAAGGAAAUAUGCUCUGUAACUACUUUGGCAGCCUUUGAAUAGUUAGAGAUAUUUCAGGAAAAAAAAAAAUCCUCUAAAAAUUCAGUAUUUUGGAAAUACAGAUCUGUCCCAAGGAACUGCUCGACAAUGAAACUCCUUUUCUGUCUUCCUUCCAUCUCUUCUCUAUAUCUCACAGGGAAGACAGUGUUGUAAUCAGAGGACUAACUGGGAGUAAAUGUUUAUAAGGCUGUGGAUGUUUUUGGAUAUGCCCAUAAUCUGAGUUUUGAUCAGCUUGGUUCUGUGUGAAUGUGGACUCCUUUCCAAGGUGAUGCUUUUGUGAGAAAGCUUAGGAACAGACAACUAGAAUGAAUUCACUCCCAGGUGCUGAGGCAAAUCCGCAAAAAUGUUUUGGAUUUUGAGGGUAUUUCAUUUAAUCUAAACGUGCAGCAGUGUUGAAAGAAGGUUUGUUUCCCAUCCCUCUGUAUGCUGCAAGCUAAAAAAGCCCUUUCCAGACCUUACACCACAGCUGUAACGCAUAAUGACCUCAACAGUUCUCUGCCUGAGGAAGAACAAAAGGACAUCCUAAGGGAAAACGCACAGAUGAUCCUACGAAGUACUUGCACUGCAAUUUAGACACAGGACUAGAGGCAGAAUGCUGGGUGAGCAAGCAAGAAUCCUGGACUUCCUAAGGUAGUGCUGUUUCUUGUAGCCGAGACCCACCAAUGUGAUGGGGCAAACUGGUAGCACUUAACAUAUCACAACCUUUGCAGGGAAAAAUGAAGUGCCAGUCCCGAAUGCUGCACAAGUGACUAUGGAUGUAGAAUGGUGCACGUUUUGUUCUGGGCAUCCUUAUUGAAUAGUGACAUCAUCAGAGGUGCUCGAUUGAUCUGUGAUUUGAGGAGAAACUGCUUGGACUUGAUCCUCCCUUUGUCCUUCCACAGAGAAACAAAUGCUGCGGUGUUCAGCUCUUUCACUGGCAGCUGUCAUACUGAAGAGAACUCACAUGUUAGGAAGAGGUGUUCAGGAAGAAUGUAAGCAAAUGCAUGAACUGAAACACAGCCCGUUCUAUUGCCUCUGUCCUAAGGUGUCAAGUUAGGGCUCAGUUUUGUAAUCAUAGUUAUGUAUCUGAGGGGGACACAAACAACAUCUAGCACAACCAUUUGUGGUCUUCAGCUGCAGGAUGACAUAGCUAACAGUAAUAACCAUUCAUGGGCAGUCUUGUUGCCUUCCUAAAGCCAGCACUGCACUGCAACAUCAGCACUGAGAUAAAAUGCUCAGGAAUGGGACUCCUGGGGAUUUAGAGAGCAACUGAUGGACUCCAGGUUAGAUCCUGGGACUGCUUCCCUGCAUGGACAGCAUGGAGCAUGUGAGCGUGGCAAUCCAAACUGCUUAGCACUAUCUUAAUCACAGAUUGUCAUGUAGUAUUGGUGAGUUAGGUACCCAAGGGAGAAGACCUGAACCACAACUCCUUUGUGUUUCAGGGCCGGGGAUAAUACACCUUCUUAUAGGUUCAUCUUCAGCUCAUGUAUUGCUGACAUCUUGCUGAGAGAAACAUAGCAAAUAGCAAGAAUCAUCCCAGAGGGCAUCUGUUGGCAGCUGUAUACACAGGACUACGUUGGUGUUCACAAAGCAUUUUUCCAAUUUUGCAAAUUGAUUCAGAGAUGAAAUUUCAUGAGUGUUUGUUGACACUCGCAUAUAGCAGAUGGAUUUGUAAAUGGGCUCUGCAAAGAUGAUUGAAAAACAACCCCCCAUCCCCGCUGCAUCCAUUGGUCUUGUACAAUCCCAUGGCGUUCUCUGGGCUGACAUGUGACAGGAGGUAAGCAUGGCUCUUUGGAGCUGUGAGCCUCCCUGUCCCCCUAAAGCAGAUGCUCCCCUGUCAGAUCCCAGCCCAGCACAGUGCUGGGACCAGAUUUCUGGUUUUCAAUUAAGAUUCAAACAUCACAAUGAUAGAGUCCUCCUAAUCCUUCUACAAAGGUGUGUGCGGUUAAUCAAACUGCAAUGCCGUGGGCUCCGGGUGGCUUUGUUUAACAUCAGCUUAGUCAUAAAUCUCUGGGGGAUAUGUUCACCUGCUUGGCAUGUGCAAUGUGCUUGCAGCGCUCGCAGAGGGACAAGGCUGCUCCUGGUUGGGUUGUAGGGCAGGUGCACCAGCUGUGCUGCCUAACAUAGCCUUUUAAUAGCUGCUGGGAGGAAGAGGAGCCCUUGGCCUUCCUUUUGUGCAGAUGAACAUAUGUCCAUCAGGGAGAUGGGGAGUUGGGGAGUGAUUUAUUAAAAACUAGGAUUUGUCAAGCAACAGGCUGAGGAAAAACGAUCACAUUUUUGUAAGCUAGCCAGUUUUAAGAUCCUUUAGUAUGUCUCCAUUGAAGCCUUCAGGAGUAUUGUGGUGAUUAGGUCCGAGAGAACACAGUGAAGGUUUGGCCAUGGGAAUUUUCCCACUUUCCCAGAACUUGUGCCCCAGUGGAAAGUGACAGAGGAAUGGUUAUCAAGGCUAGAGAAGUCCCCCCGGCCAGUUAUGCUUGUCCUGCUACAGGUUUGCAUUAUCAGAGAUGCUUUCCUAGAACCCUUUAUAGACGGAGAGGGCAGUGUUAAUUUUGGAUGCAUAUGCAAGGCCAAAUCCUGGUUUGGUGAUACCAAUGUAAAGCUGAAAUUAAUUAUUAUUUUCAAUUAAAGCAAGCUCUAGGCAGUAAUAAUGGGAGCAAAAACGAACGUAAGGUUCACUUAUGGAUGAAGGGAAAAAUGCAUCCUUGCAGUAUGAGAAAGAAAAACCUGAUAUCCUACCCCAAUCCCUCUGUGUAUGGUUUGGCUGUGUGUUUGCACUCAUCUGUCUCUAUGAGUCACAAUAACUCCUCACCACAUGCACAGCUCCGGUAUGGAUGUGGAUGGUAAUAACCCAUCAGCAUGCACUGAAUCUAUCACUUAAGCAUAAGAGCUUAACUCCCUUAUGCCUCAGAGUGUGUUUCAGGGGGUAAGACUGAAAUGAAAUCCCCUCUGUGUCCCUGUGUCAGAAUAUAUACACACACACACACACAUAUAUAUAUAUAUGUGUAUAUAUAUAAGUGUUUCUGUGUUCUCAUAUUACCUCAGAGUGUUUCUUGUGUGAUUCAGGGCUAGUAGGCACAAAAGCAGUAUUGAAGAUUAAUUUCAUUUAAUUCUGGCAAUAAAGAGCAUUGCAGGCACAAGAGGUUUGCCAUCAAUGUUGGAGGGCAUUAAGUAUUUGGUUUUUUUUUUAGUUGCAAGAUAAUAAUGUCCUGGUGUAAAUGUUUUAUAAUGAUCUCAUGAAUUAUUCACACUUAACUUGAUAACCUGAUGUUUUAUGGGAUAUGGUCUCUAGAGUACAAGGGGCGGGGAGGGGGAUUUUAAAAUAAAUAAAUAAGAAGAUAAGCCCCAGCUGCAACAACCAGAAAGCACUGAGACCUCUGGUUUGUUUUCUGUCUGCACUGAAGGGUGGUUUCAUUCUUGCAGUUAUAUUUUUUGUGAUGAUGAGCCACAGAAUGUGAGCGAGUGAGUGAGGUUAUUUUCUAUAUAUGCUAAAGGAAAAGAGAAAGGAAUCAACCACCCUUCACUGUUUGUUUAAUCUGGAAGUGGUGUUUGAACACUUCACCUAUUGUUAUGGAGCUCAGGGGUUCUGUUAUUGUUGAUAACAUUCCCAUUUGUUGAAGCAUUAGCACAAACUGAUGCGGAUUUUCCUUUAUGCAUACUUCUGUGCCUUUUCCCUCCUUCCCAUUCCCUUCUCUUCAUCUCCCAUUCUUUCAUCCUUACUCUCAUUCUCUUUCUUUAUUCCUUUUCCUUUUUUUCCUAUUUUCUUUUCAGUCCUGGUUCUUCUGGGUUGUUUUUUCCUCCUUUUUCUCCGUGCCUUUUUCAUUUCUUUUCAUCUUUCAGCAUUUUCUUCUGUCUACAAUUUUCUCUUUGUUUUCUCUAUUGCUAACAGGGUUUUAAUAUUUGCUGAAGCCCACGGGCCUUAACCUAAAUAAGCUGCAGAAAGAGUCAGACCCAGAGAAGAGUUGCUGUGAUUUAAUUAAACUUGGUGACAGCUUCUGGAAGAAAAGUGCUGAAGCUGACACUCAGACAUCCAAUCUGAAUGUCUAUCAGCCCUUGAUAUCCCAGAUGCACUAGAAACAAAUGCAGUAACUUCAUUGACAUACCCUAGAGAUAAAUGGCAGAACAUACACAGCAAAGAUAUAGAGAAGAGUUCAUAGUGACAAUGCAAGCGAUGUCUCUUCUAUGGAGAACAAAAGCCUAUUGCAGACUUCAAGUUCUUCUCUCUGUGGGCAGAGGAGGGGGAGCAAUACUGCAUUUGGGAUGGCUAGCCUGAGUCACCCGAGCGACGUGGCACCCAGGUGCUUGCAGUAUUGAGGUUUAUCGCACAGGUGUUUCAGCGAAGAGGUUUCAUCAGUCAGGGAUACGUGUGUUUUUUUCAAAGGAACUCCGGGGGGGUCUCGGUGUGCUUUUAAAUUUUGAAGAGGAAAUUUGGAGAGCAAUUUGGAGAGUGGCUGGUGAGACGUGAGCCAUCGUAGGCAGAUGGAUUCAUAGGCAGGACUUUUUAUAGAAUGACUUUGAAAGAAUGGUCCAACCAACUUGCUUCAUGCAUUUAUUUAAAUCUAUGCUACAAAGUGAAGAGCAGAAGAAAGCUAAAAUUUGCAUGGCUUGUUUUUCUUCUUUUUCCCAACCUUAUUUUAUUUAUUAAAUCACUCUGAAUUAUGCCUUCCAAAGGACACUUUUCCCCUUGUUGUUUAUUAUACCUUCAUCAGCCUUGAAAUGGGAGCUGCAGGCAGCUUGAUAAAUGGAUUGAAAAGCUGCUUCUGCCAGCAUCAAACAAACAAAACCCCAAUAUCCAUAAAACCUUCUGUUUUAGAAACGCUAAAACAAGCACUAUUUCCCUCUGAGCUGCGCUAAAGAAUGAUGUGCCCGUAUCCCUCACUGUUUAUAGGGUAUUUUCAUCCAGUUGUGCCCAGAGCAGAAGUUCAUUACUGCAUCGUGGCCAGGACUCAGCCUGCAGCAGUGGGAGCAGGGGCAGCUGGCUAUGAUGGGAGAGAGCGAGACAGUGCUAGGAAGGCUGAGCAAAUAUUGACUUAGACUCUGAAAUGCAUGGGGCAAAUCAGCCAAGAUGUCUGAAGUUGGGUCCUGCUUCCACCAUGUUCGACCAUUGGAUUGGCCUGGUAACAAACCAGGACUUCAUCUACUGUGGUGUGUUGGUAAAGGUAAGCGGUCCAGUCCUAUGUGUGAAGGUACAAAAUGUUAACAGGUAAAUGAAGUGGUAAUGGACCAUCAGUUGCAAAGCACUCAAAAAGCAAGGUGAAGGCAUGUUUCACUGUCUUUAGUAAAUAGCAGUGAUGUUGCAACAAAGGAUAAGGGGGAAAAAGCCAAACGAAACAGAGAAAUGGGAUGUGAGGUUUGCCUUGGCCCAAGCUCACUGGUGUGUAACUUGCCCAUAUAGAUCUUGUUGAACACAGGGUACCCUACUCUCCUAACACAGUGUCCAGUAUGCAGCAAGAGGGCACACCAAAGGGAUGACUCAUAGAUAUCUGAUAUGGAA